UACGUAGGGCGCAAGCGUUGUCCGGAAUUAUUGGGCGUAAAGAGCUCGUAGGCGGCUUGUCGCGUCGGUUGUGAAAGCCCGGGGCUUAACCCCCGGGUCUGCAGUCGAUACGGGCAGGCUAGAGUUCGGUAGGGGAGAUCGGAAUUCCUGGUGUAGCGGUGAAAUGACGCAGAUAUCAGGAGGAACACCGGUGGCGAAGGCGGGUCUCUGGGCAGUAACUGACGCUGAGGAGCGAAAGCGUGGGGAGCGAACAGG
rnacentral:rRNA from 1 species